GGGGGAGCACCUUGACUGGGUAUGGCUGGGCGUGGCUGGGGGACUGUCUGGGGCGCGCCCAGGCACCCCCAGCCAUUCCCCAACAAGCUGCUCCCCCCAAAUCUGCCCCAUUUUCAUCAAUUUGAGCCGUUUUCAUCAAUUUUUUUUGAUAAAUUCGGAUCAUUUUGAUGAAUUUGGGGCAGAUUUGGUGGGAAAUAGGGGGAAAUCUUGCUGUUCUUGACUUGGGCAGGCACAGGCCAAACAUGCAGUUCAACAUUUGUUCAUGCCUCGUCUUGGCCAAACUUUGUCCUCGUCAUGGAAGAGUAGGAUUGAUUCAUAUUUUCCACGUCCCGUCGAAAGCCCAGCCAGUCCCCAGGCGUGGGAAAGAGGGGGUCGUCUUGCCGUUCGUGACUUGGGCAGGCACAGGCCAAGCAUGCAAUUCAACGUUUGUUCAUGCCUCGACUUGGCCAAACACUGUCUUGGUCAUGGUAAAGCAAAAUUUCUCCCUCUUUCUCACGCCCAUGCAUGGUGGGGUGGCUAGCGUAACUAGUCAAAAACCCAUGCCUGUCCCUUCUCGGAAAAACUUGUGCCCUUGUAACGCUGCGGGGCGACUAGCAUUUGCUUACAUGCAGUGCGGGUCAAUAAACAUAGCCGUGUUGGUCCCUCCUCGGAAAAACUUGUGCCCUUGUAACGCUGCGGGGCGACUAGCAUUUGCUACUUGCAGUGCGGGUCAAUAAACAUUGCCGUGUUGGUCCCUCCUCGGAAAAACUUGUGCCCUUGUAACGCUGCGGGGCGACUAGCAUUUGCUUACUAGCAGUGCAGGUCGAUAAACAUAGCCGUGUUGGUCCCUCAUCGGAAAAACUUGUGCGUCUCUUUAAUUUUCAUGCUUAGUGGAGCGGAGUCGGCGUUGUUGGAUGCUUCCAUAUGCCUGCAUGCCUUGGCAUUGUGGGGUGUGGGAUGUUCUGCGAUGUUGGUUCUUGCUGAAGCGAGGGCAUGUGAGUGGUAGCGUGGAUGUUUGUGUUUGCUGGCUCAAUGCUUUGGCUUUGAACGGUUUGCAUAUGAUCCUGAUCAUUUUUCAUUGUUGACUUUGUGUCUUCGAUGUUUGUUUGUUGUUCCUGUUCGGUUUACCUCCAAAUUGGUACACUAGUGGCUUGUUAGACUUUGAACCAUCCCACACCAUUGCUUGGUGUUGCGGUGGCUUUUGAAUUUAUACGUAUGCUCCGCUUAGAUCUCCUAUGUGGUGUCUUUUGCGGCGCGCAUGUAUUCAUUGAUUUCUCGGACGCGGUGCUUGAGAUGACCUUUGGUUUUUCCAUUGUCCCUAAUUAAUUAAUGGUUGCCUUAAAUUAUGCCUGCUCUAUUGGAUGUUUUGCGCCCCAUUUGUGGGCUCAAAACAUUCACGAUGUGCAGAGUCAUUAAUGGAUG
rnacentral:misc_RNA from 1 species